rnacentral:rRNA from 1 species
UACGUAGGGUCCGAGCGUUGUCCGGAAUUAUUGGGCGUAAAGGGCUCGUAGGCGGUUUGUCGCGUCAGGAGUGAAAACACGGGGCUUAACCCCGUGCCUGCUUCCGAUACGGGCAGACUAGAGGUAUGCAGGGGAGAACGGAAUUCCUGGUGUAGCGGUGAAAUGCGCAGAUAUCAGGAGGAACACCGGUGGCGAAGGCGGUUCUCUGGGCAUUACCUGACGCUGAGGAGCGAAAGUGUGGGGAGCGAACAGG